UGGCUUCGGGGUUUAUCAACACAUCGGAAUCAUGGUCUAAAUUGUAGCCCGAAAUGCGGGGCGUUACAUAAGCAAUGAAGAUUGUGGUUCAAAACUCCGCUUCGCUUACUUAGGCAGUUCUUUCUAUGUUGCUGGAACGACUCUUUAAAAAAGUUGCGACAACCAUGUCAGAUCCUUAAAAAAAUGCACAACUUUUGAAGGAUCCAACACGUAAUCAACGUUAUUUUUGAGGAGCUCGAGCAACAUAACUAUAUACAUAGUACAAAGAGCCACUAACCUUUUAGCUUUAAAACUUUAAUUAAAUGAGAGAAUAAUUAAGGGAAACUAACCUUUCAAUGGCAGAUCAUACAGCUUCAAAAUCACUGAAAGAGAUAUUUGAGAAAAGGACAAAAGAAAUGACAAUAUUAUGAGUAACAGUAAACAAAUGUGUAAAGAACAAAAGAUAAGAGUACCUAACCAAGACAAAAUUUGAGUGGCUUAAAUGAUAUCUGCAGAAUUUAUCAUCCCAAACAGUCCCUUAACUUUACAUAGUAGGUUCACUUAGGUCCCUAUAAUAUAAUGCUGAGCAUAAAUGGUCCUUUAUCUCUUUAAAAAAAAAAAGAUGCACUUUGAAAAAAAUGUUGUGCUUUAUACACAUAGUGGGAUAUGGAGAGGGCAAAGUAUACGCAAAACCUUAUCGUUAUGUCAGAGAUAGAGACGAUGUUUCUGAUAGACCCUUUGCUAAAGAUAAAUAGCUCGAAGCAGUCGAGAAAUAGAUGCCCCUUAUUUAAAAUAUAGAGAAAUUACAUCUCCUUGAAAGCUAGAGAAUAAUGCUAAAACAUAGUAAUUAAAAUUUAAACAGUAAGAACUAUGAUGAAAUCCUUGAACUUCAAUCUUUAUUAGUAAUUGCUUUUAAAACUAAAACAAGAGAAUCACCAUAUAAAUGCACAUCUCCAUUCAUUUAAUAAAUAACGUUACCAAGUAAAUUGAGUGCGUGAUCGUGUUAACAAUUGUGAGCUCGUGAACUCAAAAAUUUAGUAAUGCCCAACUGAGUAAUAUUACUAAAAAUUCUAUCAACUCAAAAAUAAGUUACAAUACGAAAGAGAUCACAUUUCCUUGGAAGUCACACGUUGCUUGAAGCCGAUCAGGUAAUUUAUUAGUCUUUAUCAUGUUUAAGGAGAAUGUGGCCUCUUUAUAUGAUCUCCAUCAAUCCUCACCUCUUCAUCUAGCUUCUGGGUUGAGUUAGACCUAAGGUCCAUCAGUGUUGUUAAUCAGUGUCACAGAGCAGCUAACGAGUCGCACUGCAUUCCGCGUUGCUAUGCCGUUGCUAAAUGGUCCUUAACAACAGGGACAAAGCCAGACUUAAUGCUACCUAAAUGAUCGUUGAAAGGCUUAAGAGAGGUCAGGGAGGACAAAUCAAAGAGAAGGGUUGUUCAUAGAUCAGUAUAACCUUCAGCGUGAAGUGGUCGGGUGUUGAGCAAUUAGUGAAGUGUACAGCAGUACACUAAGUGAUGAGCUGUACACAGCGGUUAGUUAGGAGCAGUUAGUUAAGCUAACUUAAUUCAUCAACUAUUAGGAAGAUUCUAGAAGAGCUCUUGUCUAUAUAUAGAGGAUUAGGUAGUAGCAGUUAUUGAUCUCCUCCUCUGUAUUCAAUCUACUCUGCAGCUUAUGAUCAGAAAAUAUUUGCUUCAGUUUGAGCUCGUUAUUUGCCAGUUAACCUCUUGCAUUGCAGAAAUUUAACAUCGGGUUCACUCCUUCUCGAGGAAGGGAUUCGAUGUAUUUGGCAAAAUUCAGUAGCUUUUUCGUAUUUAGUGUGUGAAAAUAUUUAACUCCCAUAAAAUGAUUACGGUUUAGAACCAUAGACUAAAAAUCCUGGCUCCGCUUUGCUUACUUAGUAAUGUUUUCUUAGGAUGAUAUUUGGAUCUAUCCUAAAUACAGACUUGUACUAUAUAUCUAAGUUGCUGGAACUCUUUAAAAAGGUUGUCACACCUGUGUCUAAUUCUCAAAAAAUGCAGGUCUUUAUAGCCAUCAAGUACCUCUUACAAAAGGAAGCAAUAAUUCAUCGGAAAGGUGUAUCCCUUUAUGUUUAGUAAGGCUUUUCACUAAUGGUGUUUGCACCACGAAGUGAUUAAUUUUGACAUACAGCAAAGACAUUUGUGCGUUCCAAUUUUCAAGCACACAUUCUCCAAAGAGACGUAUAAAUAAAUGACUUGGUAGAAAAAUGCAAUCUUAGCAAAGGAUUUGGAAUGGUUUAGGAAGCAUGGUCAUGCCAUGCCGGUGUCAAGAAUUGAUCUUGGGCCUAACUCAAACUCCUCAAGAGGUGAGAAUUACCCAAGUCCAUAUAAGCAAACUACCAGUCCAUUCCCCAACCAAUGUGGGACUUUUUACCCACUUUAACACCCUCCUCACGCCCAAGCCCAACUGGCCUAACUCAAUCCCAAAAGCUAGCUCUUCCCAUUAGACAAAGAUAUUCAUCCCCAUGACUGCUGUGCUGAAAACGGCUAAAGACUAGGGCUGCAACAUUGACCCAGAGACGAAGGAGCCACCAAUCUCUGUACCGCCGCAAUACUCAAUUAUCGGUUUAUAUUUAGCAAACUACCAGUCCAUUCCCCUACCAAUGUUUGACUUUUUACCCACUCACACCCCACUCAUGCCCAGGCCCACCUGGCACUGGCGCAUGGACCAGGAACCCAAAACGGGGAUGGAACUGGCUCUGAUACCAUGUCAAGAAUGGACCUUGGGCCUAACUCAACCUCAAAAGCUAGCUCAAGAGGUGAGGAUUACCCAAGUCCAUAUAAGAAAACUACUAGUCCAUUCCCCAACCAAUGUGGGACUUUUUACCCACUCUAACAUCCGAAACCAUCAACUCCUGGCAUCAGCUAUGCUCGUUACUUAGAGGAGCUAUCAGAAAAGGAUCCUCAAGCAUUUAUUUUCCAUUUUUACAACACCUACUUUGCGCAUUCAGUUGGAGGUCGCAUGAUAGGGAGAAAGGUUAGUAAUGUCGUCUUUGAAUUUUUUAGUAUUAUUCUACAUUGUACUUCUGAUACUAUGAUAUAUAAAGCUAGAUUUUCAUCAUAGAAAUAUGGAAUGAGCAAAAUUCUAAGUUAUUUUUAAGUCAUAAUUUGUAGGGUAUCUGAGGACACCCAUGGGUGUGGUUUAGUAGUCAAUGUAGUGGGAGGAGAAAUAUGAUGAGGUUUAAAUCCGAGCAGUGGCAAAAAAAAAAAACACUAGGUGGUUCAUUCUGUUUACCUAAGCGUUGCUAGGUAGAGUUACCCCAUAUCUGUGCUGGUGAGAGUUAGCAGGUACUCGGUCGAAUAGGCAAAGUGAGCACAAGCUAGACUCCGUACCACCAUCGUAAAUCUUUUUCUUUUUGAAGGGUAUCCUAGGCAACUUAAUGUGGAGAACAUGGUUCAGUAAACUCAAUUAUUACGCCAUAGUUUCACAUGGGUGUGAGGAUGGAUAGUUUAGUUCAUACCACAACAUUAUGCUUCUGUCACAAACAACUUAGUUCAUAGGUCUUAGAAUUUUCUGAAUUACAUUUUUCUCCUUCUUACCAUAUUGCCGUUCGACCCCUUUUACUUGUUAGUACUUCAACUUUGAUGGUAGUUGAAAUAUUACUAGUUCCUGUCGUUAUGAUCACUUAGUUUGUUGAAAUUAUGAUAACAGUAGCAAGCAAACUAAACAACAUUGUAAAAAUGAAAAUUUCAGUAUUCAUCAGUUUUAAAAAUGUCCGGCAGACGAUAAAUUCAGAUUAGAAGAAAUGUAACAUGGAGUACUACUAAACUGUCAAUACAAAUUCCUUUGUUAAACUAGUGCUGUCGUAGAGGCCCUAUUGCAUUGUUUCUUUUCCUUCGUAGACCUACGAGUGUUAAAGGAAAAAAGGUAACCAUUUACUGUCCACAAUCUUUCUUAUUCUUGCUUUAUAGGUAGCUGAAAAGAUACUAGACAAGAAAGACAUGGAAUUCUACAAAUGGGACGGCGACCUUUCUACAAACGGGAGGUGUCCAAAAACAAAUCCAUGAGGGCUUGGCCCAAAGCGGACAAUAUCAUACUAGUGCUGAGUUACACGUGGUCCCAACAAGUGGUAUCAGAGACUAGGUUCGGGUGUGUCGGAGUGGUGGACUGUGGUUAGUGAGAAGUUCUCGGUGUAAUGACAAGACUAGAGAUCUGCAUGUUGUGCCUUGUGUCGAAAGUCUUCCUAGAGUGGUGGCCAGGUGGCGUGUCCCGUUGGGUGAUAACGACGGUACAAGAUGCUUGGCAGAUCAUGUGAAGUGACCGAGUAGUUGAGAUCUAUGGUUGAUGCCUCGUGUUGAAAGUCUUCUUGACAAGUGAUGGUCAAGCAGCGUGUCCCACUGGUUGGUAGUGGCGGUGUGGAGAGGUCACAAGUGAUGUGGUCUUGGUUUGAGGGGGGGAUUGUUGAGCAGCAAACACAAUCCCACAUCGAAAAAAUAGAGAGAAUAUUUCCAAUAUUUAAAGUGUCACCCAACUCCACUAGUAUGAGGCCUUUUGGGAAGUGUCCAAAAACAAAUCCGUGAGGGCUUGACCCAAAGCGGACAAUAUCAUACUAGUGCAGAGUUUGGGUGAAGUUGCACGCGGUCCCAACAACAUGGGUAUGUAUACUAGUUCUUGUUAAUCACUGUCGCAGAGCGGCUAACGAGUCGCACUGCAUUCUGCAUGAUACGGGUACGAUCAUGAUCGGGGUCCAAUGCGUCAAAACUCGAGCUCGGGGGGCUACCCAUCCAAGGAAUAAGCUUUGAAGUGUAGAGAACAAGUCCCACAAGCUCCAAAACUGUUAACUGUUCAUCCGCAUUCACUAUUCAUUCACCCUUUGCAAGGGUUUUUUAGUCAUUUGUAAUAAGUUAACCUAGGUAUAAAUAGAACCUCAUUAGGUCAUUUUUGGAGAAUAUAUUUUGUAGCCUCUUUGAGAGUCUUUAGCAAGGUGGAAUCCUUGUGUUGAUCAUUUGCUUAGAAACGGAGAUUACUUGAGAAUUUUGGUUCCCUUGAGGUCACGUAAGAGACAGGCUUAGGUUGUGUGUGAUAUUAAAGGUCCAAAAUUGGAAUAAGCUUUUGGGUUGUUAAUAUUAUACCAUCCCUUUGUCUAUCCAUCUAUCUUUACUUUUUUGUAAUCGUUUGUCUAUAUCUAGUGUAAUCUGUUUGUGUUCUUGUCUUGUAACCGUGUGUUGUUAUUGCAUCUUGUUCAUCAAGUGUUGUUGCUGUUUUUGUGUGUUUUACUCUUGAUAUCACUUCCCUUCUUGUUCUUCUUGCGAAUCCGAGAGAGGUCAUCAAAAGGGUCCAUAGUUCGUGAACUAGUGGACUGAUUUUGGUGUUUGUGUUGUUGUGUUCUUGGGGAGUUUGGUAUCUCUGCAGUUGCUAUGCCGGUGCUAAAUGGUCCUUACUGACAGGGACAAAGCCAUCCUUAAUGCUACCUAAACUAUUGUUGAAAGGUUUAAGAGAGAUCAGGAAGGACAAAUCAAAAACAAGGGUGGUUCGUAGAUCAGUAUGACCUUAGGCGUGAAGUGGUCGGGUUCACUCCUUCUCGAGGAAGGGAUUCAGUGUAUUCAGCAAAACUCAGUAGCUUUAUCUUAUAUAGUGUGUGAAAUAUUUAACUCACAAAAAAAGAUUACGGUUCAGAACCCAUAGACUAAAAAUCCUGGCUCCGCUUUGCUUGCUUAGUAAAGUUUUCUUAGGAUGAUGUUUGGAUCUAUCCUAAAUACAGACUUGUACUAUAUAUCUAUGUUGAGGGAACUCUUUAAAAAGGUUGUCACACCCGUGUCUAAUCCUCAAAAAAAUACACAACUUUUGAAGGAUCUGACACACAACUUUGGAUAGUAUGUUCACUUACAGAUAUUUAGGGAACUCCCUUGAACGAUGAAUCUUUGCAGAUUCCAGUUCGUAAAUUUAUUUUAAGUGUCUCUUUCCAUCAACCUAUUAAGUAAGAGAACUAUAUAUAUUUGUGCCUCCAAAAACGAACUGUGUCCUUGGAAUUUCGGUCAUAGGUUGAGGGAACUUAUACCUUUUGGUUAAAUUCUUUUUUCGAAUAAAUAGACCACAAAAAUCAAUUCAAGAACACGAGCUGCUCUAUUACUUCUAUCGAAUAUCAUUGAGUUGAUCCCAAAGAGUAUACCGUCAAACAUCAAAAAUAAAUAUGAAAUCAAGAAACUAAAGUCUAAAGUAAAUCAUCAUCCAGUUCCCACAAGAAGCUAAAAGACAUUACAACAUAAAUUUAUCGAAUCAAACUCCCAUUAUUAAAUGCUCUUGUUGCUCGUCCUCUCCUUGUCUUCUUUUUUCCAAAAGUACUAUAACAAAGCAACAUAAAUUAGAAAUAUAAAAUCUCCAAUUUACGAUCAUGUCAAUUAAAGUCGAGAUAGGAUAUAUGAAGAAUAUUUAGAUCAUGAGUACAUCAUUAUAUAUUUUUUAAAAAGAUACUAGAAGACCAUUAUAUAUAGAUAUCCCUGAAUUAUUUAUGUACUUAUACAAGAUUUCUAACACUAAUCUUGAAAGUAACAUAUAUCUUUUAAAACUCAAAGAGGAAGCCUCCAAAACAACACAAGUGAUAUAUAUGUUAGAGGAAUUGUUACAAAGAGAUCAAUGUUAUGAAGCAAAACAAGGUACACCAAAUUCCGCAACAAACAAGAAAAUAAAAAUGCCAAGAGAACACCUUGAAAUGUGAGUUCAUGUUAAAUUUUCUUUUUCACAAUUCUGUAAAAUUUACUCCACUAUAUCAAAAAUAAAUGUCAAUAAUACUUGUCCAUUUUGAAACCAGUGGAUAUAUUACCCAUUUUACCAUUAGCAUUAAAUACGAUUCAUUAUCCAAUGUAUUUUUCAAAGCAUUAGAUUUAUUGGAUUCAAAGGGUAAUAUGGCAAAACUAGCCCUAUCAUUUACUACUUCUUAACUUAUGCGUCAAGUUAAUAGUGGACAACUAUUGAUAGAUGGAGGUAGUAACAAUUAGAUCAAAUGUACUCAGAUUUAGCAAGCUUAAACUAAAGUACCAAAAUUGAUCAAAAAUAUAUUUAAGGGGACAUUUUGAACUACCCUCAAAUAUAAGAGAUAUUCUUGUUAAUUUCUCUUACAUUUUAAGUAGGGUUUUAACCAAAUUAUGUUAAAGUUAUUUUUGUGAAAGAAUAUGGGGAAAAGCUAAAUAACUGUUGUGUAUGACUUUACUUGUGCAAAUGAGAAACAGAGUACAACCUUGAUAAAUAUAUACUUACAUGGAUCGGAGAAACAAACAUCCACAGGGUUGUUUCCGACGACUUCUUGUUCUUUCUGAAUUCGUGCAGCAGAUUUCCUAAGUUCAGGAAGACACCAUUUUAACUGAAUCAGUUGUAGUGUGUUAAUAUCUGCAAACUCAAUGGGUACCUCUUUCAAAUGAGGGCAACUUCUAAUCAUGAGGCCCUCAAGGACAGGAAAAUUAUCAUUUGUGGCUUUCCAGUACUUGAGAUCAUUAAAUUCAAUUAGCAAAAGCUUCAAUUUAUUAAAUCCCCUAACACUAGGAUGCCAUUCUUCGCCAUCACAAGCAUCAUCGAUCAGCUUCAGCACCUCAAGGUUUGGCAAUGCAGCUAUGAUGUCCAAGUACGACCAGCUUAGAUAAGUUCUUUCCAAUUUCAGCUUCUUGAGCAUUGCUGGGAACAAUCGACUAAAACAAUAAGUAAGACUCAAUGUUUCAAGUUGCUGCAGAUAAAUAAGAUUGUUGAGAAGCCCGUUAGAGUCAAUCUCAUAUCUAAUGAUUCCUAAUUCUUUGACAUUCUGAAUCCCCAUAAUCACCUCCUUCGUGCAACAACCCGAAGACAAGUAAGAAAUAGUUUGUAAGUUUGAAAAAUCCAGUUGUCUCCCUUUGUCAACAGAUCCACUUGGGCAAUCUGGCAAAUAAAAUCUGGGCAGUUUGAGAUUCCUUAAUUUUAUUAGUCCCCAAAUUUCCUCAGGAAAAGUUCUUUCAACUAAUUGACAAGGCCCUUGAACAAUGAAUGUCUGCAGAUUCCAUAACCUGCAAAUUUCUGGAGGUAUGUUUAAAUUCUUAUGGCAGAACAAUGAUAGGUACCUCAACCAGAUGAGGCUUAGUACCUGUAGAGGAAAAUUAUCAAUCUCCUGUCUCAAGUCCAAGACUUUGAGUAAUUUGAAAUGAAUAAGCUCUGAUUUGAGACCACGAGAUAAAAAUGAAUCCUUAAGAUGAAAAGAGAAAAUAGAACGGGUUCGUUUCAAGAGAUCGUUGUUGUCAUGAUCUCUCAACUGACGAUGUACAGGGGUAAGAAGAGCCCUAUAAAGAACAUAGAGACAAUAAUCAAUUUCAUCACCAGUCACGCGCUUAAAGGGCUGCAUUUUAUGCACAAUGAGAUAUCGCCGUUCUGAAUCUGAUUCGUCAAGCACAAUGUCGUACAUGAUAAAAAUGUUCUCCCUUUGAAUUUCUCUCACGCACAGGUCAUGUAUUAGAUCAUGAACCUUACCUGAUCUAAUUUUUGUUCCAUCUAGACUUUUCUUGCAGACGAGGACUAGACAUCUAUUGACAAGAUCUUGCAAACGCUUCUCAGCCUCUCCUUCCAAAUCAUUUUCCAACUUUAGGAACCCCUCAGCCAUCCAUGUUCUCAUCAAUUUCUUCGCUGGUAUCUCACCGUCUUCUGGAAAAAUUCCGAAAUGCAGAAGACACGUUUUUAGAUUGCUAGUCAAGUGAUUGUAACUCAACCCAAGCACAUGUGAACAUUGUUCAUCAGGAUCAUUUGUGAUGAAUGACGUGACAUCUUCGGCAACACUUCCCCAAUCUUCUAUUGCCCUUUUAGAUUUGAGAAGCCCAGCAACCACGACAAUAGUUAGUGAUAACCCGUGAAAUUUCCCUGCAAUUUUCUUCCCAAUAGUCUAAAACUCAGAUGACAAUGCUUCAUUUGAAAAUGCCACACUUCUAAAAAGGUUCCAACUCUCAUCUUGAUCCAUGAAGUUCAUCUGCAAAG
rnacentral:lncRNA from 1 species